AGAGUUUGAUCCUGGCUCAGAACGAACGCCGGCGGCAUGCCUAACACAUGCAAGUCGAACGAACCCUUUGGGGUUAGUGGCGCACGGGUGCGUAACGCGUGGGAACCUGCCUUUAGGUUCGGAAUAACUCGAAGAAAUUUGAGCUAAUACCGGAUAAUGUCUUCGGACCAAAGAUUUAUCGCCUUUAGAUGGGCCCGCGUUAGAUUAGAUAGUUGGUGGGGUAACGGCCUACCAAGUCGACGAUCUAUAGCUGGUCUGAGAGGAUGAUCAGCCACACUGGGACUGAGACACGGCCCAGACUCCUACGGGAGGCAGCAGUGGGGAAUAUUGGACAAUGGGCGAAAGCCUGAUCCAGCAAUGCCGCGUGAGUGAUGAAGGCCUUAGGGUUGUAAAGCUCUUUUACCCGGGAUGAUAAUGACAGUACCGGGAGAAUAAGCUCCGGCUAACUCCGUGCCAGCAGCCGCGGUAAUACGGAGGGAGCUAGCGUUGUUCGGAAUUACUGGGCGUAAAGCGCGCGUAGGCGGCUAUUCAAGUCAGGGGUGAAAUCCCGGGGCUCAACCCCGGAACUGCCCUUGAAACUGGAUGGCUAGAAUCCUGGAGAGGCGAGUGGAAUUCCGAGUGUAGAGGUGAAAUUCGUAGAUAUUCGGAAGAACACCAGUGGCGAAGGCGACUCGCUGGACAGGUAUUGACGCUGA
rnacentral:rRNA from 1 species